UUUGGGCUCAUUAGAUAGAUCCUUUUCUCUAGGUGACAAAGACGUCUGACUAAAAGCGUGUUUUUAGGCUUUUACUAUGAUUUUAUUGUCCCGAUAUUCUCUUUGCUUAGGUCAGAAUACUACCAUCUUAGAGCGUGAGAAUCAAACUCCUUUGUCCAUUGUAUCUAACGAUAAGUUUCCGUGUCAAAACAAUCAUUGUUGAUUUCAAAAAUCCUAAGGCGAUUUCAUUAUGUUGAAGAAAUUAAGUGUUCCCCAAGGUGACGUACUUUCCCCUGUUUUUUUCUGCAUCUUCAUUAAUACCGUUGCCAAGGUCAUUUCUUCUAAUUUCCAUCUCUAUGCGGACGAUUUGCAGCUGUAUCGUUACAUCAGCAUGUCUGAGGCUCGUUCUGCUAUCGAUGCCAUGAAUCGUGACUUGGAUGGAUUUGCCGACUGGGCCAAGUGUUUUGGGCUGCAAAUCAAACCUUUUAAGUCUCAAGCCAUGAUCAUCGGUAGCAGAUUUUGUUUCCUCGUGCUGUUCCUUAAAUAUUAAUAAGAUAAUGAUUAUAAACUAGGCAGUAAUGAGAAUGAACAAUAGUAUUGCAAAUGGUUUUUUCGUAUUAAGAGUUGUCAUUGAAAACUCAGCCUUAGUUCACGAUACGCGCUCUGUCAAUUUUCCAACUUACUCAGAUUGAAUUGAAUAAUUCAUCGUAGUUGAUUGUAGUGUGAAUAUCCUACCACACAAACGUUUCUUCUAAGAAUUUCGCCAAAAGAAAAAAUGGUAUUUGCUUGGAUAUUGCUAGCAAGUAUGUUGCUUUACGCAAUUUUUUGGGGAGCAAUGUACUCAAAAAGACAUGAAACCAACACCACCGAAGCUAACAGUACCAACAGUACCAAUGU